UACGUAGGUGGCAAGCGUUGUCCGGAUUUACUGGGCGUAAAGAGCGCGCAGGCGGUCAUAUGAGUCGAAUGUGAAAGCCCCCGGCUUAACUGGGGAGGGUCAUUCGAUACUGUUUGACUUGAAGGCAGGAGAGGGCAGCAGAAUUCCCGGUGUAGUGGUGAAAUGCGUAGAUAUCGGGAGGAAUACCAGUGGCGAAGGCGGCUGCCUGGCCUGUUCUUGACGCUGAGGCGCGAAAGCUGGGGGAGCAAACGGG
rnacentral:rRNA from 1 species